rnacentral:rRNA from 1 species
GUCCGCAAUGGGCCCCCGGUGCCGGAGUGAAGAUGUUAAGUUCACUGCCUGGGGAGUACGGUCGCAAGGCUGAAACUUAAAGGAAUUGGCGGGGGAGCACUGCAACGGGAGGAGCGUGCGGUUUAAUUGGAUUCAACGCCGGAAAACUCACCAGGGCCGACUGUUAUAUGAAGACCAGCGUAAUGAGCUUGUCGGAUUUUCAGAGAGGUGGUGCAUGGCCGUCGUCAGUUCGUACUGUAAAGCGUUCUGUUAAGUCAGAUAACGAACGAGACCCUCAUCUCUAUUUGCUACCUGGUUCUCCGGAAUCAGCGCACUAUAGGGAGACCGCUGGUGUGAAACCAGAGGAAGGGGAGGGCAACGACAGGUCAGUAUGCCCCGAAUGUCUUGGGCUACACGCGCGCUACAAAGGGCAGGACAAUGGGAUGCUAGGCCGAGAGGCAUUCAAGCUAACCCGAAACCUGUUCAUAGUUCGGAUUGAGGGCUGUAACUCGCCCUCAUGAAGCUGGAUUCCGUAGUAAUCGUGUUUCAAUAUAGCACGGUGAAUAUGCCCCUGCUCCUUGCACACACCGCCCGUCAAACCAUCUUAGUUGGGGGUGGGUGAGGCUGCGCUUUAUGGCGUAUUCGAGCCUGCCUUCGACAAGG